rnacentral:rRNA from 1 species
UACGUAGGGGGCAAGCGUUGUCCGGAUUUACUGGGCGUAAAGAGCGCGCAGGCGGUCGUUCAAGUCGCGUGUGAAAGCCCCCGGCUCAACUGGGGAGGGUCACGCGAUACUGAUCGACUCGAAGGCAGGAGAGGGUAGUGGAAUUCCCGGUGUAGCGGUGAAAUGCGCAGAUAUCAGGAGGAACACCGGUGGCGAAGGCGGGUCUCUGGGCCGAUACUGACGCUGAGGAGCGAAAGCGUGGGGAGCAAACAGG